GACGAACGCUGGCGGCGUGCCUAAUACAUGCAAGUAGGACGCACAGUCUAUACCGUAGCUUGCUACACCAUAGGCUGUGAGUUGCGAACGGGUGAGUAACGCGUAGGUAACCUGCCUAUUAGAGGGGGAUAACUAUUGGAAACGAUAGCUAAUACCGCAUAACAGUAUGUAACACAUGUUAGAUGCUUGAAAGAUGCAAUUGCAUCGCUAGUAGAUGGACCUGCGUUGUAUUAGCUAGUAGGUAGGGUAAUGGCCUACCUAGGCGACGAUACAUAGCCGACCUGAGAGGGUGAUCGGCCACACUGGGACUGAGACACGGCCCAGACUCCUACGGGAGGCAGCAGUAGGGAAUCUUCGGCAAUGGGGGGAACCCUGACCGAGCAACGCCGCGUGAGUGAAGAAGGUUUUCGGAUCGCAAAGCUCUGUUGUUAAGGAAGAACGAGUGUGAGAAUGGAAAGUUCAUACUGUGACGGUACUUAACCAGAAAGGGACGGCUAACUACGUG
rnacentral:rRNA from 1 species